CGCGUAGGCGGCCUAUUAAGUCGGUUGUGAAAUCUCUCGGCUUAACUGGGAGCGGUCAACGGAAACUGGUAGGCUUGAGGACAGCAGAGGGAAGUGGAAUUCCCGGUGUAGUGGUGAAAUGCGUAGAUAUCGGGAGGAACACCAGUGGCGAAGGCGGCUUCCUGGGCUGUUCCUGACGCUGAGGCGCGAAAGCGUGGGUAGCAAACAGGAUUAGAUACCCUGGUAGUCCACGCCGUAAACUAUGGACACUAGGUAUGGGGGGUAUCGACCCCCUCCGUGCCGAAGUUAACGCUAUAAGUGUCCCGCCUGGGGAGUACGGCCGCAAGGCUAAA
rnacentral:rRNA from 1 species